UCGGAUUGCAGUCUGCAACUCGACUGCAUGAAGCUGGAAUCGCUAGUAAUCGCGAAUCAGCAUGUCGCGGUGAAUACGUUCCCGGGUCUUGUACACACCGCCCGUCACACCAUGGGAGUCGGAAAUGCCCGAAGCCAGUGACCCAACCUUUAAGGAGGGAGCUGUCGAAGGCAGGUCUGGUAACUGGGGUGAAGUCGUAACAAGGUAGC
rnacentral:rRNA from 1 species